CAAGAGCGUGAGCCAGGCUUCAGAUGUUUGGCCAGGUCACAGUCGGAGAGACAAGCUGUCCACUGUGACUUCCCUCUACCUUCCAGGAGAGGUCAAAGCUGGUGUUUCUGUACCCAGCCUACCUUGUCAACAGAUGAUCAAAGAGGAACUAGCACAGAGAAAACCCUGGGCCACUCUAGUUUCUUCACCAAUAAAACAUGGAUGAUGGAAGCUGUUUCAUGAGGGUUGCCGAAGUUACUCCUGCAUCAGGGACCUCGGACUCAUAAUUGGACACAACUGGCUCAAUAAUUACCACACAGCUCAGGUUAUUAAGCUGAUAAAAACACAAGCUCAGGGUGGGUCUGUGGUGGUGCACGAUUUUAAUCCUAGCACUUGGGAGGCAGAAGCAGGUGGAUCACUGUGAAUUCGAGACAACCCUGGUCUACGCAGUGAGUUCCAGGACAGUCAGAACUAUGCCAGAGACCCUCUCUCAAGAACACAAGCAAAAGCCACAAGCCCAGAAUUUGGACUGCCGUCGUUACAGCACUUGUGGAAAGUCUAUCAAGAGCAAAACCAACAUGAAAGAAAGCCGAGCCAAGGGCUCGGGACAUAGUGUACAGGUACGAGGGACGCUGCUCAACUGGAGGGCAGUGCUAGGGAGGGGGCUAUGGAGUCAGGAUCCACCCUUGCCUGAAGACAUUAUAACCUCUGGCCUUUCCAACACUACAGGUUCUCACUAUGAAGCCCUGGCCAACCAGAAACUCACUUUGUAAACCAGGCUGGCCUAGAACUCACAGAGCUCCACCUGCCUCCUGCUCCCGAGUGCUGGGAUUGAAGGCGUGCGCCACCAUUGCUGGCCACCUUUCUCAUGACUUCCAGGACCAUCUGUGGCACAGCCUACAGUGGGGACCCUCCCACAGCCAUCAGCAAUAAGGAAACAUCACACAGACAUGCUUGCAGGCCAGGCUGAUGGUGGCAUUUCCUCGUCUCCUCCUUCCAAGAGACUCAAGUUGAUUAAAAAAAAUUAACCACCAUCUGGGAGAGAGUGAUUGCAAUCGCUGCAUAAUAAAUUCCUGAAGGCUGGGAGGUGGUGGUACACGCCUUUAAACCCACAAUUUUGGAGGUUUUGUUUUGUUUGGUUUGGUUUGGCUGGUUAGUUUUUAGAGACAGGAUUUCUCUGUGUAGCUCUGGCUGUCCUGAAAUACCAUCUGUAGACCAGGCUGGCCUUGAAUUCACAGAUUCACCUGCCUCUGCCUCCUGAGUGAUGGGAUUAAAGGUGUACACAGCCAUUGCCCAGAAGAUACUUUACAAGUGACAAACUUUCCUCCCUAAUAUUCUCUCAUUUGUUAUAUACUAAAUAGGAACACAUUUCAAAAAAACACCCUCACCAGUUUUAACCCUUUGUGGCUUUCCUGUCCUCUGACCUUUCCUGUUUUACUGAUGUUUCUUGAAGACUGUCUAUGAGUUCCUGAGGGUCAACAGCACCAAUCAAUCCUUCAGGGGCAGGGGACGGUAGCUGUGACAGCUUCACAUCUGAGCAUCUGUUCAGUUGUUCCCUCAUUUGAGACACUGAGGGCCUCCUUUAAGCAAAACUUCUCGUAUAGGCAGCAACAGUAAAGUGUAAGUGGAGUGGAGUGUGACUUGAUGUCAGACAUUCUGGAAGAGCUCUACAAACAAGGGACUGCUGGUCUAUUGUGAGGAGGGGGAACUUAAUACAAUUUGCUUACUUCUGAAUCUAUGACCUCCAUAUUUUUUUCAACAAAGCAAAGGAAACUCCCAAUUUGAUGACUAAUACUAAGGAAUUUUUAGACUCAGAAGAGGAAUUUAAAUGGUGCUCUCUGAGAGCUGUCAGGUGAGUCUCUUAAGCCUGGGUAGCAGAGGAAAACCUAAAAUAGUUUACAUUUUCCAGGGACACUGUGGUGCAGAGAUCCUGGGGUUCCUCAGACAAAGCCAUGUGCCAGAAACAGGCUUUGACUGGAGACUGAAGCAACCCAAGUACAUGGAAAGUUCUCUUUAUCUCAGCAUGCAUCUGUGCCUCUUUGUAUUAGCUGAGUUUAGUUUUCUAUUGCAACAUAAAGUACCUUUGUUUUUCAA